CCUACGGGUGGCAGCAGUGAGGAAUAUUGGUCAAUGGGCGUAAGCCUGAACCAGCCAAGUCGCGUGAGGGAUGAAGGCUCUAUGGUUCGUAAACCUCUUUUAUAAGGGAAUAAACUGCGGGACGCGUCCUGUCCUGUAUGUACCCUAUGAAUAAGGAUCGGCUAACUCCGUGCCAGCAGCCGCGGUAAUACGGAGGAUCCGAGCGUUAUCCGGAUUUAUUGGGUGUAAAGGGUGCGUAGGCGGCCUUUUAAGUCAGCUGUGAAAGCCUUGGGCUUAACCCUAGAAUUGCCGUUGAAACUAGGAGGCGAGAGUAUGUUAGAGGCAAGCGGAAUGCGUAGUGUAGCGGUGAAAUGCAUAGAUAUCAGGCAGAACCCCAGUGGCGAAGGCAGCCUGCCAGACCGAAACUGACGCUGAGGCACGAAAGCGUGGGGAUCGAACAGGAUUAGAUACCCUAGUAGUC
rnacentral:rRNA from 1 species